rnacentral:rRNA from 1 species
UACAGAGGUGGCAAGCGUUGUUCGGAAUUACUGGGCGUAAAGGGCUCGUAGGCGGCCAACUAAGUCAGACGUGAAAUCCCUCAGCUUAACUGGGGAACUGCGUCUGAUACUGGAUGGCUUGGAUCCGGGAGAGGGAUGCGGAAUUCCAGGUGUAGCGGUGAAAUGCGUAGAUAUCUGGAGGAACACCGGUGGCGAAGGCGGCAUCCUGGACCGGUAUUGACGCUGAGGAGCGAAAGCCAGGGGAGCAAACGGG